GGAUGUGAGGGCGAUCUGGCUGCGACAUCUGUCACCCCAUUGAUCGCCAGGGUUGAUUUGGCUGAUCUGGCUGGCUAGGCGGGUGUCCCCCUCCUCCCUCACGGAUCCAUGUGUGUCCCUCCCGAAGCUGCGCGCUCGGUCGAAGAGGACGACCUUCCCCCCCGAGGAGAGGACCGGUCUUCGGUCAAGGGUAUACGAGUAGCUGCGCUCCCCUGCUAGAACCUCCAAACAAGCUCUCAAAGGUAAAGUUUGUAAAAAGUAAAAGGAUUAUCAGGUAAGGGAAUUGCCUUGAGCCACCACUAUCUCAACAGAUGAGAUGCU
ensembl:misc_RNA 7SK 7SK RNA